AUGGCCGAGCAGGAGCAGCCGCCGUUCGCCAACGUCGACCCAGCGACGGCGGCUGAUGCGCGGCUCCAGGGUCGCGACCCCCGCAAGCUCGACCAGGCCGCGGAGAACGUCCUAUCCUACAUCUACGCCACCCUCCCCAGCUUCCCCGUCUACCCCGGCACGCGGCUCCCCGCCCUCGCCGCCUCCUCCGACGGCGUCGACCGCAUCAGCCUCCUCCCCGACGAGCCCCUGCGCAACAUCGUCGCCCGCCUCCCCGUCAAGGACGCCGCGCGCACCACCGUGCUCUCCUCCCGCUGGCGCGCGCUCUGGCCCUCCACGCCCCUCGUCCUCAUCGACUCCUUCCUCCUCCCCAAAGGCCAGGGCUUCCGCCCCACGCCGGCCAACUCGCCGGCACUCACGGCCGCCGUCUCCGACAUCCUCGAAGCGCACCCGGGGCCCUUCCGCUGCAUCCACCUCAUCUGCACUCAGAGCACGUACCGGAACCAGCUAGCGCGCUGGCUCCAGCUCCUCGCCGCCAAGGCCGUCCAGGACCUCGUCCUCGUCAACCGCCCGUGGCCGCGCGACGUGCCCCUCCCGCCCACGCUCUUCACCAUCACCACCCUCACCCGCCUCUACCUCGGCCUCUGGAAGUUGCCGGACACGGCCGCCCUGCGUGGCGCCUCCUUCCCCCACCUCCGCGAGCUCGGCCUCUGCAGCGUCGAAAUGGAGCACGGCGUCGUCGACUCCCUCGUCGCCAGGAGCCCCGUCCUGGAGGUCCUCAACAUCCUGGGAUGCAUCAAUGGGUUGCGUCUCCGCCUCCUCAGCCAGAGCCUACGCUGCCUGCAGAUCAGCUGCUCGAAAAUGGAGCACAUCGCCGUGGUGAAGGCUCCAUGCCUCGAGCGGCUCAUCAUUUUUGGAUCUGGCGAAAUCGCUCGUGGUUUGUGCAGCAGACUCAAGAUCGGCGAUGUCCCCAAGCUGCACGCUUUUGGAUACUUGGAUCCAGGUCAGGUCCUACAGGUCCGAGACACCAUCAUCAUGCCCGGGAUAGCAAGCACAAGUACCAUGAUGAGAAGCGUCAAGAUUUUGAGCUUGAAUGUGCGUUUCGGAGUUCGCAAUGAGGUCAAGAUGGUGCCCAACUUUCUGAGAUGCUUCCCCAACGCUGAGAGACUCCAUAUUUUGAGUGAGAAAUGUGAUAAACCCACUGGCAACCACCUGAGCCUCAAGUUCUGGGAAGAGUCCGGUCCCAUUGAGAAUGUCCUCUCACGCAUCAACGUGAUGAGUAUCCGUGAGUUCAGAGGGGACCCAGGUGAGGUUGGCUUCCUGGAGUUCUUCUUCCGGAAUGCGAGGGCGCUGAAGACCGCAUCUGUUUCCAUGGCCAAUCCAAGCUUCACACCGUUCUCGGCGGAGGAGGCGCACGCCAAAGUGAAAUAUUGCUACAGGAACAAGGCGAGUAAGUCCUGCCACAUGGUUGUCCGUGGGAGUACCGGCCCUUCAGGAGGUGAAGUUUGGAGGUUCAAAGAUGGGGCAGAUUUUUCUUUCCAUGACCCCUUUUCCCAGGUGUUGGUCAGGUGA
rnacentral:rRNA from 1 species